rnacentral:rRNA from 1 species
CUACACAUGCAAGUCGAGCGGUAACAUUUCAAAAGCUUGCUUUUGAAGAUGACGAGCGGCGGACGGGUGAGUAAUGCCUGGGAAUUUGCCCAUUUGUGGGGGAUAACAGUUGGAAACGACUGCUAAUACCGCAUACGCCCUACGGGGGAAAGCAGGGGACCUUCGGGCCUUGCGCUGAUGGAUAAGCCCAGGUGGGAUUAGCUAGUAGGUGAGGUAAAGGCUCACCUAGGCGACGAUCCCUAGCUGGUCUGAGAGGAUGAUCAGCCACACUGGGACUGAGACACGGCCCAGACUCCUACGGGAGGCAGCAGUGGGGAAUAUUGCACAAUGGGGGAAACCCUGAUGCAGCCAUGCCGCGUGUGUGAAGAAGGCCUUCGGGUUGUAAAGCACUUUCAGCGAGGAGGAAAGGGUGUAAGUUAAUACCUUACAUCUGUGACGUUACUCGCAGAAGAAGCACCGGCUAACUCCGUGCCAGCAGCCGCGGUAAUACGGAGGGUGCGAGCGUUAAUCGGAAUUACUGGGCGUAAAGCGUGCGCAGGCGGUUUGUUAAGCGAGAUGUGAAAGCCCCGGGCUCAACCUGGGAACCGCAUUUCGAACUGGCAAACUAGAGUCUUGUAGAGGGGGGUAGAAUUCCAGGUGUAGCGGUGAAAUGCGUAGAGAUCUGGAGGAAUACC